UUGCUCAAAUGAAAAGAAAGAGCUCGUACAGAGAAAGACUUGGAAUAGGUGGUCCGGUGGUGCAGGAGUGAAUCAAUUUGUGAAAAGAAGGAGUAAACUUCGAAUUAAGUGAAUGAAUGAAUGAAGGAAGGAAGCCAAAGAAGAUUUGAAAAAUAUGUGAUCGAACGAAAAAAAUUAUAUAAUCUAUUACCGUUCUCACCAAAAAAAUAUAUAAUCU
rnacentral:lncRNA from 1 species